rnacentral:rRNA from 1 species
GAUGAACGCUGGCGGCGUGCCUAAUACAUGCAAGUCGAGCGAACUGAUUAGAAGCUUGCUUCUAUGACGUUAGCGGCGGACGGGUGAGUAACACGUGGGCAACCUGCCUGUAAGACUGGGAUAACUUCGGGAAACCGAAGCUAAUACCGGAUAGGAUCUUCUCCUUCAUGGGAGAUGAUUGAAAGAUGGUUUCGGCUAUCACUUACAGAUGGGCCCGCGGUGCAUUAGCUCGUUGGUGAGGUAACGGCUCACCAAGGCAACGAUGCAUAGCCGACCUGAGAGGGUGAUCGGCCACACUGGGACUGAGACACGGCCCAGACUCCUACGGGAGGCAGCAGUAGGGAAUCGUCCGCAAUGGACGAAAGUCUGACGGAGCAACGCCGCGUGAGUGAUGAAGGCUUUCGGGUCGUAAAACUCUGUUGCUAGGGAAGAACAAGUACGAGAGUAACUGCUCGUACCUUGACGGUACCUAACCAGAAAGCCACGGCUAACUACGUGCCAGCAGCCGCAGUAACAC